rnacentral:rRNA from 1 species
UACGUAGGGGGCAAGCGUUGUCCGGAAUCAUUGGGCGUAAAGCGCGUGUAGGCGGUUCGGUAAGUCGGCUGUGAAAGUCCAGGGCUCAACCCUGGGAUGCCGGUCGAUACUGCCGGACUAGAGUUCGGAAGAGGCGAGUGGAAUUCCCGGUGUAGCGGUGGAAUGCGCAGAUAUCGGGAGGAACACCAAUGGCGAAGGCAGCUCGCUGGGACGUUACUGACGCUGAGACGCGAAAGCGUGGGGAGCAAACAGGAGUUAG